GGGAAAUGGUAGAAAAGUACUCAAAUAUAUUUGGAUCUUGGCCAUCAUACAUGAGGUGCAAUGGCAUAGUAAUUCUCUUCUUCAUCAUAUUUGCAAUGGCUAACAUAGUUGUGUUUGGGUCCACUUCUAGCAACUUGUCAAUAAUUCUUGUGUAGGCAUUCUCAUGACGCUUUUCAUCUGCUGCAAUGGUUCCACAUAUACGCGCUAGCACGGGGUCUCCACCUUCUCUAGCUAGCCUAGCCAUAUUACCAUGUGUUAGAAAUGUGGCUCGCUCUUGAAAUGACGUG
rnacentral:misc_RNA from 1 species